GCUCAUAAUCAUUUCAUGCCACAGCACAUCAGAAUGCAGCAGUAUGACCUCAGAAGCUAAGCAGGGUCGAGUCUGGUUAGUACUUAGAUGGGAGACCACCUAGGAAUACCAGGUGCUGUAGGUG
rnacentral:rRNA from 1 species